rnacentral:rRNA from 1 species
UACGUAGGCAGCGAGCGUUGUUCGGAAUUACUGGGCGUAAAGAGUGUGUAGGCGGUGCUCCCAGUCUGUUGUGAAAUCUCCCGGCUUAACUGGGAGGGCGCAGCGGAAACUAGAGUGCUAGAGGGUGGGAGAGGUAAGCGGAAUUCCUGGUGUAGCGGUGAAAUGCGUAGAUAUCAGAAGGAACACCUGUGGCGAAAGCGGCUCACUGGACCAUUACUGACGCUGAUGCACGAAAGCUAGGGGAGCAAACAGG